UCCGGCUUAUCACCGGCAGUCUGCUCAGGGUUCCAAACUAAAUGUUGGCAACUAAACACGAGGGUUGCGCUCGUUGCGGGACUUAACCCAACACCUUACGGCACGAGCUGACGACAGCCAUGCACCACCUGUGCACGAGCCCCGAAGGGCUGCCGUAUUUCUACGACAUUCCCGUACAUGUCAAGCCCAGGUAAGGUUCUUCGCGUUGCCUCGAAUUAAACCACACGCUCCGCUGCUUGUGCGGGCCCCCGCCUAUUCCUUUGAGUUUCAGUCUUGCGACCGUACUCCCCAGGCGCAGGACUUAACGCGUUAGCUACGGGACGCAUCCCGUCGGGAUGCACCCCAAGUCCUGAUCGUUUAGGGCUAGGACUAC
rnacentral:misc_RNA from 1 species